UGUAGCUCAGUGGUAGAGCACUUGUCUAGUGUGCAGAAGGCCCUAGGUUCAAACUCUAGCA
rnacentral:tRNA from 1 species